rnacentral:rRNA from 1 species
CUGCCUGGGUUAACCAGGAGGAAGGUGGGGAUGACGUCAAAUCAUCAUGCCCCUUAUGUGUAGGGCUACACACGUGCUACAAUGGCUGGUACAGAGAGAUGCAAUACCGUGAGGUGGAGCCAAACUUUAAAACCAGUCUCAGUUCGGAUUGUAGGCUGAAACUCGCCUACAUGAAGCUGGAGUUACUAGUAAUCGCGAAUCAGAAUGUCGCGGUGAAUACGUUCCCGGGUCUUGUAC